GACGAACGCUGGCGGCGUGCUUAACACAUGCAAGUCGAACGGAAAGGCCCUGCUUUUGUGGGGUGCUCGAGUGGCGAACGGGUGAGUAACACGUGAGUAACCUGCCCUUGACUUUGGGAUAACUUCAGGAAACUGGGGCUAAUACCGGAUAGGAGCUCCUGCUGCAUGGUGGGGGUUGGAAAGUUUCGGCGGUUGGGGAUGGACUCGCGGCUUAUCAGCUUGUUGGUGGGGUAGUGGCUUACCAAGGCUUUGACGGGUAGCCGGCCUGAGAGGGUGACCGGCCACAUUGGGACUGAGAGACGGCCCAGACUCCUACGGGAGGCAGCAGUGGGGAAUAUUGCACAAUGGGCGGAAGCCUGAUGCAGCAACGCCGCGUGCGGGAUGACGGCCUUCGGGUUGUAAACCGCUUUCGCCUGUGACGAAGCGUGAGUGACGGUAAUGGGUAAAGAAGCACCGGCUAACUACAU
rnacentral:rRNA from 1 species